rnacentral:miRNA from 2 species
AAAGUGCUUCCUUUUAGAGGG